ACGAUGGCUACUAGCUGUUCGGUUUUCGGACUGAGUGGCUAAGCGAAAGUGAUAAGUAUCCCACCUGGGGAGUACGUUCGCAAGAAUGAAACUCAAAGGAAUUGACGGGGGCCCGCACAAGCGGUGGAGCAUGUGGUUUAAUUCGAUGAUACGCGAGGAACCUUACCAGGGCUUAAAUGUAGAUUGACAGGUUUGGAAACAGACUUUUCUUCGGACAAUUUACAAGGUGCUGCAUGGUUGUCGUCAGCUCGUGCCGUGAGGUGUCAGGUUAAGUCCUAUAACGAGCGCAACCCCUAUUGUUAGUUACCAUCGAGUAAUGUCGGGAACUCUAGCAAGACUGCCGGUGCAAACCGUGAGGAAGGUGGGGAUGACGUCAAAUCAUCACGGCCCUUACGUCCUGGGCUACACACGUGCUACAAUGGUCAGUACAGAAAGCAGCUACCUGGCGACAGGAUGCGAAUCUCAAAAGCUGAUCACAGUUCGGAUUGGAGUCUGCAACUCGACUCCAUGAAGCUGGAAUCGCUAGUAAUCGGAUAUCAGCCAUGAUCCGGUGAAUACGUUCCCGGGCCUUGUACACACCGCCCGUCAAGCCAUGGAAGCUGGGGGUACCUGAAGUCGGUGACCGCAAGGAGCUGCCUAGGGUAAAACUAGUAACUAGGGCUAAGUCGUAACAAGG
rnacentral:rRNA from 1 species